GUCCAACAGAUGGUUCAAGCUGGUCAUCAACAGCAGCUGGUAAAAAUAUACAGGUAAAUAUAUGUUGUUUAACCGUAGAAAUUUGAAUUAUAACUGAUCUUGAAGCAUCAGAAUUUUGUGUUAGAUCCACCAAUUACUGUGAAAAAGCUGAAUUUUUUCUUUAUUAAGCCAGAAUAAGAUUACUCGAAAACCUUGGAAA
rnacentral:lncRNA from 1 species